AUUGAACGCUGGCGGCAGGCCUAACACAUGCAAGUCGAACGAGUGGCGGACGGGUGAGUAAUGUCUGGGCAACUGCCUGAUGGAGGGGGAUAACUACUGGAAACGGUAGCUAAUACCGCAUACCAUCGGAUGUGCCCAGAUGGGUGUACCUAGUGGGUGGGGUAAAGGCUCACCUAGGCGACGAUCCCUAGCUGGUCUGAGAGGAGGACCAGCCACACUGGAACUGAGACACGGUCCAGACUCCUACGGGAGGCAGCAGUGGGGAAUAUUGGACAAUGGGCGCAAGCCUGAUGCAGCCAUGCCGCGUGUAUGAAGAAGGCCUUCGGUUUGUAAAGGACUUUCAGCUGGGAGGCGUUACCCGCAGAAGAAGCACCGGCUAACUCCGUGCCAGCAGCCGCGGUAAUUC
rnacentral:rRNA from 1 species